GGGGAUUUGGCUCAGUGGUAGAGCGCUUGCCUAGGAAGCGCAAGGCCCUGGGUUCGGUCCCCAGUCUCCA
rfam:Rattus norvegicus chromosome 8, whole genome shotgun sequence.